rnacentral:tRNA from 1 species
ACCUGGUUGGCUCAGUCGGUAGAGUGUGUGACUCUUGAUCUUGGGGCUGUGGGUUCAAGCCCCAUGUUGGGUG